rnacentral:tRNA from 1 species
GUCCAUGUAGCUCAGUAGGUAGAGCAGCAGACUGAAAAUCUGCGUGUCGGUAGUUCAAUUCUACCCGUGGACA